rnacentral:rRNA from 1 species
GAUGAACGCUGGCGGCGUGCCUAACACAUGCAAGUCGAGCGUGAACCCUGCGAAUGAAACUUCGGUCGAUUUUGCAGGGGAAGCGGCGGACGGGUGAGUAACGCGUAGGUAACCUGCCCCAUACUGAGGGAUAGCCUCGGGAAACCGGGAUUAAUACCUCAUAACACCGUAUAUUCGCAUGGAUGUGCGGUCAAAGAUUUAUCGGUAUGGGAUGGGCCUGCGUCUGAUUAGCUGGUUGGUGGGGUAACGGCCUACCAAGGCGACGAUCAGUAGCCGACCCUGAGAGGGUGAUCGGCCACAUUGGAACUGAGACACGGUCCAAACUCCUACGGGAGGCGGGCAGUGGGGAAUAUUGCACAAUGGGCGAAAGCCUGAUGCAGCAACGCCGCGUGAGCGAAGAAGGCCUUUGGGUCGUAAAGCUCUGUCGGGUAGGAAGAUAAUGACGGUACUACCCGAGGAAGCCCCGGCUAACUACGUGCCAGCAGCCGCGGUAAUG